rnacentral:rRNA from 1 species
CGUCUCAGUUCGGAUUGCAGGCUGCAACCCGCCUGCAUGAAGCCGGAAUCGCUAGUAAUCGCGGAUCAGAAUGCCGCGGUGAAUACGUUCCCGGGUCUUGUACACACCGCCCGUCACACCAUGGGAGUCGAUAACGCCCGAAGUCAGUGACCCAACCGAAAGGAGGGAGCUGCCGAAGGCGGGAUGGAUAACUGGGGUGAAGUCGUAACAAGGUACC